AAAUUAUAUCUUAUAAGAUUGUGAAGAUUAAAAAUUUUGAUGUAAAAAGCCUAACAUUGUGCCUGAUAGGCAUUCAAUAAAUGUCACAUCUAUUAACACACAUAGGCAUGUACCUGCACUUACCACACACUCACACCAAGGUGGCAGUCAGUAAUGAGAAGACAUAGUCAAAUCCUACCUUAGCGAAAUCUUUUUGCCUCUUUCUCUCUGCUCUGCUUCUAUUUUAUAUCUCUUGGAACAUUCAUCUCUACACCCUCCUGCUGUCUCAGUUUGUUCUCUUGAUGGUAACCUCACAGAGGUUACCAGCUGACGUCACCGAGAAGAAAUGUACGCAAGGCGACCCCUCCCUGAGCAGAGCUCAUGAUUCAGUAGGGAACACAGCAGGGAAAACAAGUCACAGUGCAAUAUAAUUGCUUUACUAGAUGUAAGGACAGGAGGCAGUCCACCGGAUACAGGCUCCUCAACUCGGGAGCCAUAAAUCAUAUCAGGUGCUGAAAAUUCAGAGGUGAAGAAAAACAGUUCUUGCUCUUGAUGUGUUCAAUAGCAAGGAAGAUUUCUAAUAUCUUAAAUAAGAGGCAAGUGAUUUUACCAAGGAGACAAGUCAUGCCGAGUAUUGUAAAAUAGACCAAGAAACUUGCCUGUGAUGUCAGAAAACUUGCGGGUUUCUGUACAACUAGUUUGGGGAAGGAGGAUCUCUGGAGGUUUCUGAAAGGCAUGGGAAUAAGAUUUCGGAAGAAACUUGUGAAAAGGAAGAGCAUCCCAAGCUUAGGAGUCCCUCCAACACAGGCCAUCUGUCCCUUAUUCCCUAGAGUUAAAAGCAACCUACGUCAGAUUGAAAUGGAUAAAAAGAUAAAUCACCACCUCUCUGCUGAACACAGAAAGCUAAAAAGGAGAAAGAAAUUGCAUUUGCCUUUGCACUCAAUAUAUCAAAGUAAUUUAUGUCAAAACCACUAUGCCUGCUUUCAUACAUACUCGAUUUUAAAUAAAAUCAAUCUCCAAACCUGUAAUCGCUUUCUUUGUAAGUCUCCAAAAAAGUGUUGCUAAAAUCUGAUACCAUUAGAGGCACAGUUGGUUUAUUGCCUUACAAAAUCAUUCAUCCUAAUGAGACGUAAGGUUAAGAGACAUUCCUACGAACACAUUAAAUGGUUAAUGACCAUGUAAAAGCUGGUUCAAGCUCACAUUAAAACCAGGCGGUGGGGAGGCCAAGGUGGGCAGAUCGCCUAGGUUAGGAGUUUGAGACUAGCCUGGCAAACAUGGUGAAACCCCGUCUCUACUAAAAAUAUGAAAAUUAGCCAGAUGUGGUGGUGGGUGCCUGUCAUCCCAGCUACUCAGGAGGCUGAGGUAGGAAAAACGCUUGAACCUUGGAGGUGGAGGUUGCACUGAGCCCAGAUUGUGCCACUGCACUCUAGCCUGGGCAACAAGAGCAAAACUCUGUCUCAAAAAAAGAAAAAGGCAGGGAAGGGUUAAUUGUGCAGACUUUUAAGACAGUAGGAGGAGGGGAGCCCCAGAAGGAGAUGGGGUUGGAGCCAACUCUAGCACAGUGGGAGCAACUGCUGAGAGCAGGAAGGAUUUCCCUUAUGCUGAGAGUAUCAUGAGAACCAGUGGGGGUUCAACUCUACCUCCUUCUGGGGCCUCCAUAAGGGAGAAAGAAGGGCAGCCACCAUUUCUGAAUAUUGACUAUAAUAGUGACACGCACUUGUAUAGUAGUUCCUCUCUUCCUGACACUGUUCUCUAUCCGUAAGGACCCUAUGAAGUUAGUGCUGUAAUUUCCCCCAAUUUACAGAACAGGGGACUGAGACAUCAAGAGCUUAAGUAAUUGCCCAGGGUCCACACGCAGCUGUUAGACAGCACAUCUGGAACUCAGUCCCAGAUCAUCUAGUGAAGCAUUACCCAUGCUUAGCCACUCUACUCUCCUGCCUCCUUUUUUUUUUUUUUUUUUUUUUUUUUUUUUUUUUUUUUUUUUGAGAUGGAGUUUCACUUGUUACCCAGGCUAGAAUGCAAUGGAGUAAUCUCGGCUCACCGCAACCUCCCCCUCCUGGGUUCAGGCAAUUCUCCUGCCUCAGCCUCCUGAGUAGCUGGGAUUACAGGCAUGCGCCACCAUGCCUGGCUAAUUUUUGUAUUUUUAGUAGAGACAGGGUUUCACCAUGUUGACCAGGAUGGUCUCGAUCUCUUGACCUCGUGAUCCACCCGCCUCGGCCUCCCAAAGUACUGGGAUUACAGGUGUGAGCCACCGCGCCCGGCCUCCUGCCUCCUUUUUAAUCGAUUAGUCUCCUAAGUCUCCAUUCACAGUCCCCACAGGCACUGUGAACAGUGCACCACUAUUCUUUUUUACAUGAUGAGAAAACAGGCUCAGAAGGUUUGGACUGUUGUCUCUCUCCAAGCCUGAGUUUUUUCCUUAGCAGAGAGUAGUGAAGUGCUGAUAACAGAAGGCAACAGCAACCAAGAAAUUGCAUCUCACCCCCAAAUGUUAUCUACCACUGACUCUGAAAUAUACACAGCAUUUUUGUUUUGUUUUGUUUUCUGGUUUGAGUCAUAUACACCUUUUACAAAUAGUUGACAAUGAGUCAGCAUUACUAAGAAAGAAAGAGACAUUCUGAAGUCAGAUAGACAUGACUAUAAAGAAAUCCCAGCUUGACUACUAAGCAGCUGCAACUGAUCAUCUCUGGGCCAGUUACGAUUGUCUCGGCCUCAGUGUUACCACUGAAAUGGGAAUGAUCCUCCUGGCUCAGGGAGUUGAGUGAUUAAAUAAAAUCAUGAAUGUGAACUCAGAGCACAAUGUUGGGCAUCCUGAAAACACUUGGUAGGUGAGCAAGGUCAUUAUGAUUGUUCAUUGCCACUCUCACACCCUCCCAACUUUCUCACAAGCUGUCCCCUGGUGCCAACCUUCUCAGGGAGAGACAGAGGAAGGGUAUAAUACAACACAUGUGCCCAGGGUGGGAAAAUGUAAUGCAAGAAAAGGAGACAAAUCUCUGGUGUUGCGUGUACUAGUCAUUUUGUAGUUGUGAGUGGAAAAUUAGAGAUGACUGAAGGAAGCUCUAAAUACAUGCCCUAGACAGGCAUUGCUCAUCUUCCUAGUACCUGGGGCUUCUGACAAACGCAUUACGUCUCAGUUUUUCAGAUAGGACACAUGGUCUAAAGGGAGGGUGAUAAUAAGAACAUUCAUCAUCUACAAGUUAGCCAGGCAGAGGCCAGGCAGACACACAUAGAGUCCUUGUUCCUCUGCAAAAUGAACUGAGACAUAAGAAAAGCUACAUCACCUGCUGGCUAUGAGAUCUUGGAUGUAUAGUCUCCAGCUGCAAAACCCUAAUGUUUAUUCUGAACUGAAGAUAUCUGCUGCUAGAUUCAACAGCUGAAGAUUACCCAUAAAGGAAUAUAAACAUGAAGAAUAGCCGGCAAAUUUAAUUUCAAUUAAAUUCAACAAUGCUGUAUUAGUCUUCUAGGCUCUGAGUAUAUGCUAAGCCCUUGAGAAUUGAAGGAGAAUAAAAAUGAUGAUGAUGGCUGUAGUGUAUAGUACUCUUGUUUAGAGAGGCAUAUUAUGAGGCACUUAAGAACAAAUCUUGGAGAUAGACCUUCUGGCUUCAAAUCCACCUCCAUCAUGUAUUAAUAGUUUUAACAUCACCCCAGUUGCUCUACUGUGAUGUGGCUGUAAAAAAAAAAAAAAAAACAGUGAUAAAUGGGCCUCAAUAAAGCAAUAAGUAUAAAGUUGUUAGAACAACUCCUAGCAUACAGAAAGUAAGAUUAGAUGUUAGAUAUUUUUAUCACUGAACUUAAAGCUGAAUAGAAUCUUAAACUAAUCAUUGUAAACUAAUCCAGCCCACUAAUUUCACAGAAUGUUGAGGCCCAGAAAAGCAAUGGGAAAAAUUAAUUUCAACUGAACUACUAAAAUGAUGUAAGACCUCAGAAAUAUUACAUGGUACAGAAAAAGAUAUUUGUGAUCUUAAAAUAGGAAGUCAUUUUUUAGGCAAGAGUCACAAAAUUUAAAAGGAAGAAAUUAACUUUACUGCAAUAAAAUUUGCAAUUAGAGAGUUAAGGCUUUGAGCUGUGUGAUAUCAGCCUACAUCUAGCCUAAAAUGAUGGAGGGAUAGAGAUUUGAGUUCAGUGUUUCAUCCAAUGAUUCAAUCAAUCAUGCCUACAUAAUGAAACCCUAAUAAAAACUCUGAACACUGAAGCACUUAUGUGCUUCCCUGGUUAAACUAACCUUAAGCAUGUUCUUACACAUUAAGUAUCACAUCCUGACUCAAUGGUGAGAACACAUGUAAGCUUUUCAUUCAAGACUCUCCCAGAUCUUGACCUAUGUAGCUUUUUACUGGUCUUGAUUUGUACCCUUUUUUGCUAUAAUAAAACUGUAACCAUACAUAUAGUACUUUCUUGAGUGCUAUAAGUCAUUCUAAUGAAUUAUUGAACCUGAAGGAGUAAGGGGAAACCCAAAAUUUGUAGUCAGCUAGUUAGAAGCAUGUCUAGCCUGAGGUCCUUGGGUGUGCAGCUAGUGUGUGAAUGAGGGCAAUUUUGGUGAGGACUGUGCUCCUUACCUGUGACGUCUGACCUAACUCCAGGUAGUUAGUGUUAGAAUUGUACUGCAAUAGCAAUCAGAGAAAUGGAAAUGAAAAUAGGGUGAGAAAUGAUUUUAUGCCCAGCAUCUUGUCAAUCCUCAAAAAGCUUGGAUAACAACAACAAUGAUGAAGCUAAACAGGAACUCUGAUCAGGGGGUGGAAGUGAAUAUUGGCAUAAAUUGUUUGAACAGAAUCUUACUCGAAUUCCCACCAGAAUCAAACUCUGAGACAAGGACUGAUAAAAUGAAAGGAUAAGUCCUAUAGCUGAUGAAUCCCAAAAUAAGAAUUCUACCCAUGUCACUGAAUUCCAAAUCCAUUGUUUUCUGCCACAAUUGAUAGCCUUCCAAGGCUGAUGAAAUACACAUUUUUAGCAAAACCUUCAACUAACUAUGCUUUUUAUAUUACAGAACAUUUCUUAUCCAUUAGCUUAUUUAAUUUUUAUAACACUUAAGAAAGUUAAAUAUGAUAACAUAAAAAGGUUCAGUACAUUAUAGGGUGAUUCUGAAAGUUGAACUUGUUCUCAAGGAUCUAAACAUGAACAGAAAUGUUAUAAAAGCAGAGCUUUUAUGGAACACAUCUCAGAAGAUGGUCAGAUUAAAGACACGGAAUUGCCACAAGCCUCAGUUUUGUCACCUGUGAAAUAAGAAUAAGUAUGUGCCAUCUCAUUCAGAGAAUUGUUGAUAUGACCAUUACCUAAGUGCCAACUCCAAGACUCACCUCAGUACCCAUGUGCUUAUUCAUUUAUGCAUUCAUUGCACCAUCUUGAAAUCCUGUGACAAGGCAAUCGGCACCUGUGCUACAUGUCAUGGCUCAAAACUGCAAAGUCCACAGAAGCUCUUAGUCUAAAAGGAAAAACAGGCUUAUAAAAUACCAUGAAAAUCAUGCAAGUAGAGAAUGGUGAAGAAUAGACAGAGAAAGGGGAUAGUCAGAAAAGAAAAGUCAGCCUUAAAUGUUGGGAAGCGAUUUUAAAAGCAUGAUGUAGGAUAAGAGUCUCACCAGGGGGGAGUUUUCCAAGAUGGCAUGGUAGGAACAACUAAGGAUUGCAGCUCUCAUUGAAGGUGCAGAGGGUGAAUCUUAGCCGCAUUUCCAGAUGGAUCUUUGUUGCCCACAGAACAGGGAAAUUACCAAGUGUAGGAGAGUCACGGGAAGCCAGCGCAGCCCUCUCGGC
ensembl:lncRNA